UAAGAAGAUCGUAAGAUCUCCACGCUCGAAGGUUAAGAAUUUCACGGGAUAUCCUUGUUUUACGAGCUAUCCUUGGUGUUAUUUGGGACAUAUCGGAUUGGUGAAAGAUUAAGACUUCUGGUUGCGUUUUUAAGUGCGAAUUCUUGGCGAAAUUUUCUUCAAUACAUUGGAAAGCUAAGGAAGACGAGAAUUUGACGUUGUCUCGUGGCUUUGAUUCCGUUAACGGUUUGGAGUGAGUUGGUGAUCGAAGUUGUGCUUUUCUGUCGAAACUAGUGAGGCAUGGAUGAGAACCAGCAGCAAAGCAAAGUAAACAAAAGUGCCAAUGAGGUGGUAAGCUCCAUUGUAAACAUUUUCUUGGUAAAUUAUGCACUAGUUAUAAAAAGCCAAUUGAGUCUGUAAAUGGAAAGUAAACACAAAAUAAUGAUGAAUUGUUGAUCAAUUUUUGCUGAUUUGGCUACCAUGGCUCAAGAUAGAGGACCACGUGAGCAUGUGAUUAACAUGGACUGGCUGGAACAAGAAAUAGAGCAGCUGGAAAGAGGAAGAGAAGAACAAAGAAAAAUGGAGGAGCAAACGAAAAGAGAGAAACAGAGAAGGGGAGAAGAUCAUUUUUCCGACACAUACCUAUACUUAAGUUGUCCCUUUUGAAAUUUUAAACCUAUAUGUCUAUGUCACUCAGCAAUUCCUCUUUUUUUCGAAUAUGUGAAAUCAUGAUCUCUCGGAAAACUGCUCUAUCAGGGAUUUAAAUUUAAUGUAUAUUGUUUCUUUUUUUUAUUUUUAAGUGAGCUUAAUGAUCUUGUUUAUAUUAGGACAGCCAUAUUAGUACGUCAAUGUGAUGUGAAGACAUUAAAUAUUUGGAAGAGAAACUUAAAACU